CGCGGCCACCCUCUCCCCCAAGGGGGAGAGGGGAGGAUGGAACCGCAGGCACGGCAGUCGGGACUCCCCUCUCCCCUCCGGGGAGAGGGUGCCUUGC
rnacentral:pre_miRNA from 1 species